GGCUCCAUGCAGGGAGCCCAAUGUGGGACUUGAUCCCAGGACCCCAGGAUCACGACCUGAGUCAAAGGCAGACGCUCAACCCCUGAUCCACCCAGGCGCCCCUAGAAGCAUUUUUUAAAGGUCUUUGCAGGACCUGUUGACAACCAAAACUGCUGAGUGGAAUUUGAGAUGCGAGCGUGAGAGCGAGCUCCUGGCUCUGGAUUCUGGUCAGAAGUGUUAGCAUGUGGUGAAGAAACAGACCCAACAAACUCCAUACUCUGAUACCGGUUUUUAAAUUUUAGUUACUUGAGUGAAAACGAGCAGUGGGGAGUAGCAGGAGAGAAGCAGAGUCCCCGCUGAGCAGGGAGCCCCCUGAGCUGAAGGCUGGCGCUUCACCACCUGAGCCACCCAGGCACCCCCAGCUGCAUCUUCAUACAGUUCUGGGAAAGGCAGGAGUCACACAGAGAGAGAGGCAGAGGGAGAAGCAGGCUCCAUGCACCGGGAGCCCGACGUGGGACUCGAUCCCGGGUCUCCAGGAUCGCACCCUGGGCCAAAGGCAGGUGCCAAAUCGCUGUGCCACCCAGGGAUCCCCUGUGCCCACUUCAUGAGUGAAGUGUCCUACCGGGAACUGGUAGGGCGGUUCCACCAUCUUGUUCCUUGAGUGGCCUCAUCUUUGUCCCCGGGGCCCCUACUCCGCACUAGCCCGUGUCCCACCUGCAGAGGGAGGCCAGUGGAGGGGGAGAGCUCGCCAGCUGCCCCUCGGCGGUCUCCCUGUACCUGCCAGGGACCCAGCGCAGGGAUGAAGGUGCCAGGCUUGGCUCUGCUUCCUAGGAUGGCAGUUCAAGGCAGAGCCCAUCCGCCUGGUCCUGAGUUUGAAUUACAGACGCUUCUCUGUUUUGUUCACAACCCCAAACAUGUAGGACGAAGCAUCUGGCCAGUGGUGGGCAAAUAUUUGUUGAUGGAUUGGCCAGAGCACUUCAGUUUGCAAACACGAUGUUUCUAACUUC